UACGGGGGGAGCAAGCGUUGUUCGGAUUUACUGGGCGUAAAGGGCGCGUAGGCGGCGCAACAAGUCACUUGUGAAAUCUCCGGGCUUAACCCGGAGCGGUCAAGUGAUACUGUCGUGCUAGAGUGCGGAAGGGGCUACUGGAAUUCUCGGUGUAGCGGUGAAAUGCGUAGAUAUCGAGAGGAACACCGAUGGCGAAGGCAGCUCGCUGGGACGGUACUGACGCUGGAGGCGACGAAAGCCGUGGGGAGCGAACAGGA
rnacentral:rRNA from 1 species